rnacentral:misc_RNA from 1 species
CCUAGAUAAUAAAUAUUGUCAGCAAAUUUGUUCAAUUUGGUUCUUAUUUAUUUAUUUAUUAAAUUCCAGAAUCUUAGCCUAGAAUUUUGUUUAUAGCACAAAAUUUUAUUUUGGCCAACGGAUUUAUAAUUUUUCUCUGUGUAUUAACAUCUGCAUCAAUUACGCACCUUUGAUUGGUCUUGGCAUUAGGAAGAAAUGGUUGGGGGAGGCAGGAGAGACGAGGGAUCGCUGGUGAUUAACAACAAUAAUGUGUUUGCGGCCCUUGAAACUCUGAGGAAGAAGAAGAAGUCUGAUAAGGAGAGGGGGACAUCAAAGAGCGCCAAAGGGUCUUCCAAACCUCAGCUACCAAAACAGCAGCACAAAGAACCUGAGCCUGAAGUUUUCUGGGCCCC